rnacentral:rRNA from 1 species
GAUGAACGCUGGCGGCGUGCCUAAUACUUGCAAGUCGAGCGAACAGACGAGGAGCUUGCUCCUUUGACGUUAGCGGCGGACGGGUGAGUAACACGUGGGUAACCUACCUAUAAGACUGGGAUAACUUCGGGAAACCGGAGCUAAUACCGGAUAAUAUUUCGAACCGCAUGGUUCGAUAGUGAAAGAUGGCUUUGCUAUCACUUAUAGAUGGACCUGCGCCGUAUUAGCUAGUUGGUAAGGUAACGGCUUACCAAGGCAACGAUACGUAGCCGACCUGAGAGGGUGAUCGGCCACACUGGAACUGAGACACGGUCCAGACUCCUACGGGAGGCAGCAGUAGGGAAUCUUCCGCAAUGGGCGAAAGCCUGACGGAGCAACGCCGCGUGAGUGAUGAAGGUCUUCGGAUCGUAAAACUCUGUUAUUAGGGAAGAACAAACGUGUAAGUAACUGUGCACGUCUUGACGGUACCUAAUCAGAAAGCCACGGCUAACUACGUG